ACGAGGCAGGGGUGUGUGCUUUUUCCCUAAAACAGAAUUACGUGGUUUUGUUUUUUUUUUUUUAAACCACACUAGCAGUUAAAAAAAAAAACAAAAAAACAACCUCAAACGACGACAGCUGAAACUCACUGGCCGGCCUAGGAAGGAAGGAUGCUGUCAAGUGGAAGAAGGGACAUGACGAAUGAAAGUAUCUGAUGAGACAAAAGGGAAUUGGUUCAAGCCUACAGAGGAGGCAUCAGCCUUUCAGAGUCGUGCUUCUGAUUGUUGCCGUGGCUGUCUUUGUUGCCGUCACCAGAGCAGGUUUGUAGUAAGCUUCCUAGUGCUUUGUAAC